CGUGGAGUCUAGAAUGGAUCCUUUUAUUUUGCUAUAUAGGAUACCACUAAAGUUGGCCGUAAAAAGGCGGCCUCACCGCAAAGUAGUCGUAUUUCCAAGAUGUCUGUCAAGUCUGUCAAAGAAUGCUGAAGGGAACGAAUGUUUCUCGACGGUCCAGAAUGGACUAAAGACUAAAUAAAAUUUUAAGAGUGAAGCGAAUUGUCGUCAAUUGAAUUGAAACUAAAAACUGUUGCGAAAAUUCAGAUUGUUGAGCAAGGCGUUCAUGCCAGAAGGUUUACAUCCAAUAUUGCCCAGGGGGACAGUAAUUAGAACAAUUUCUUUAAGUUUGUGUGGACACAGAGGCUUGAAUGUAGAAAUCAAAGAGUGGACAUGCGCAUAAAAUAUCGCCAACAGACCAUGGACGGAUAAAGAGAAAAAUCUACUAUUGUGAUUGAAAGUUGAAAAUAAACAGCAAAUAAACUUCAAAUAGAAAUUUAAACAUACAAGAAGUAGGACCUUGACCAUGCCUCAACAACAUCAGGAUCAAGAAGUCAAACAUGCAAUAUUAAUUCACAUGCUUGUAGCUAAUAGCACACGAGCAUUAGCAAGUGAAGGAGAGAAACAAUAACUAAUGACCAUAAAAUUCUAUAUUGAUACUUAUCAAAAUUGGAUCCAUUCUGAACAACUUCAAGAGUCUAGCCAGCUCUAUUGAUACUUAAAAAUUGGAUCCAUUCUGGAAAUUGUAAGAGUCUAGCCAGCUCUAUUGAUACUAACCAAAAUUGGAUCCAUUCUGGAGACUUUCAAGUGUGUAGCCAGCUCUAUUGAUAUUGACCAAAACUCGAUCCAUACUGGACAUUUGCAAGAGUGUAUCCAGUCCUGUUGAAAUUGACCGAGUUUUGAUCCAUUCUGGACAUUUUCAAGAGUGAAGCCAGCUUUAUUGUUACUUACUAAAAUUGGAUCAAUUGUGGACACUUUCAAGACUCUAGCUAGCUCUAUUGAUACUUACCAAAAUUUGAUCCAUUCGGGACAAUUUUAAGAGUCAAGCCAGCUGUAUUGGUACUCACCAAAAUUGGAUCCAUUCUUGACAACUUCAAGACUCUAACUAGCUCUCUUGAUACUUACCAAAAUUUGAUCUAUUCUAUACAAAUUCAAGAGUCUAGCCAGCUCUAUUGAUACUUACCAAAAUUGGAUCCAUUCUGGACAAUUUCAAGAGUCUAGCAAGCUCUAUUGAUACUUACCGAAAAUGGAUCCAAUCUAGACAAUUUCAAGAGUCAAGCCAGCUCUCUUGAUACUUACCAAAUUGGAUCCAUUCUGGACAAUUUCAAGAGUCUAGCCAGCUCUAUUGAUAAUUUCCAAAAUUGGAUCCAUUCUUAACAAUUUCAAGAGUCUAGCCAGCUCUAUUGAUACUUACCAAAAUUGGAUCCAUUUUGGACAAUUUCAAGAGUAUAGCCAGCUCUAUUGAUACUGACCAAAAUUGGAUCCAUUCUGGACAAUUUCAAGAGUAUAGCCAGAUCUAUUGAUACUUACAAAAAUUGGAUCCAUUCUGGACAAUUUCAAGAGUCUAGCCAGCUCUAUUGAUACUUUCCAAAAUUGGAUCCAUUCUGUACAAUUUCAAGAGUCUAGCCAGCUCUAUUGAUACUGACCGAAACUGGAUCAAUUCUGGAAAUUUGCAAGAGUGUAUCCAGUCCUGUUGAAAUUGACCGAAUUUGGAUCCAUUCUGGACAUUUUCAAGAGUGUACCCAGCACUAUUGUUACUUGGCAAAAUUGGAUCCAUUAUAUACAAUUUCAAGAGCCUAGCGUGCACUAUUGAUACUUAACAAAAUUGGAUCCAAUCUGGACAUUUUCAAGCGUUUAGUCAGCCUUGUUGAUACUGACCGAAUUCGGAUUCAUUCUGUAAAUUGUCAAAAUAUUUUUGAUUGAUCAUAUAAUGUCCCUGGGAUGAAAAUAAGCCACACCUUUUUGCUUUUUAUUAAAGGGGCCUUUUCAAGUUUUGGUAAAUUGUCAAAAUUGUUUCAGAUUUUUAUGUCCCCCACCACUAAAGUGGUUUAUAAAAUUAUAAAUCGUUGCAAUGCAAAACGAUUGAAUAAUAUGGAAAGUUCUGUUGUCGUUGUUAUAUUUUGUGAAACUACGAGAAUUGCUUAUAUAAAGUAUAAAAUACCGUCCACAUUGUAUGACCACAAAUGACCGAGUAGUCAAAGCAGUAGACUUUUACUCCAGUACUCCAGUUGUCAGAGGUUCUAUCCCUGUUGAGGGUUCAACCAAGAUUUGAUUUUCAAUUUGUGUCUAGUUAUACACUGGGGACCAUGGCGUUUUCCUUAUAUGCAUGUUAUAAAAAUUAUUAUUAUCCUAGACCUAAACAACAAAGAUAAGGAGCCUGCAAUUGAGGUUGCAUCUGAAUAUUGUAUGGUAUUUGUUUGAACGACACAGGCCCUCUGGGACCUAUUUAAAAAAACAUUCUUGAUCCAUUUUUCAUCUUUAACAACUUUUAUAAUUUUUCUCAGUACAUACUCCGGUUUGACUUGAAACAUACAGACUAGUGAAAAUAAUAAGUACUGCCAUAAUUAC